AGCAAAGAACAAAGGAAAAAAAAAGGAAAGAAAAACCAUGGGAGAAGAAGAGAAAAGGAACGAAAAUUUUGCUCUUUUCUUGGCACGGUUUUGCUGCACUUUGAGGGAGGAAAAGAGAGCUUUUUGCUGCAAUUUUUGGAGGAAGAAAAAGCUAAAAAUUUUGAGGAAAGUUUGUCGUGGAGGCGUGCCGAAUGAAAUAUGUGACCGACAAAUAGGAAUAAUUAUAUACGCGUACGAAUCAAUAGUGAAGUAAUAUCUCACUAUUAUGAGAUAGGGAUUAGCCUAGUGUGUAGUCAGUGACGCGUUUGGUCCACCAUGAAUAGGUAAAGGCAUCUCCUAGCAUUUUAUUCCAAGUCGCUCCACUGUUAGAGGUCAAGUCGUAGCAUUUUAUUUAUUAAGUUGUAAACGAAUUCUAAAUUUUUAUA